rnacentral:rRNA from 1 species
CCUACGGGUGGCAGCAGUCGAGAAUCAUUCACAAUGGGGGAAACCCUGAUGGUGCGACGCCGCGUGGGGGAAUGAAGGUCUUCGGAUUGUAAAACCCUGUUGUUAGAGAAGAAAGUGCGUGAGAGUAACUGUUCACGUUUCGACGGUAUCUAACCAGACAGCCACGUCUAACUACGUGCCAGCAGCAGCGGUAAUACGUAGGUGGCAAGCGUUAUCCGGAUUUAUUGGGCGUAAAGGGGACGCAGGCGGUCUUUUAAGUCUGAUGUGAAAGCCUUCGGCUUAACCGGAGUAGUGCAUUGGAAACUGGGAGACUUGAGUGCAGAAGAGGAGAGUGGAACUACAUGUGUAGCGGUGAAAUGCGUAGAUAUAUGGAAGAACACCAGUGGCGAAAGCGGCUCUCUGGUCUGUAACUGACGCUGAGGUUCGAAAGCGUGGGUAGCAAACAGGAUUAGAUACCCCAGUAGUC